ACAACAACAACAACAAGCUCUGCAAAUAAAUUUAUGAAAUUUUGCACCCAAUGAAGUUAUUUUUGAGCCAUAGACAUUACUUCCAAUUCAAUUGUGAGCUCAAGUACUGCACCCAGGGUGUCAAGUCUCAAAUGAAUGUAUAAUUUGUUCAGCUGAUGGGGUUUCAAAAGUCUAUCAAACUUCUCCCCUGUUCCUUAUACAGGAAUUCCUGUACUGGAACAAUCUUUUUUCAUGUUCACUGUAUUUGCUAUGUCACUAUUUUUCUUGUCACAGCUGCUGACAAUUUUGAAAUUACCAAAGUUAUUCAAAUUAUUGUUUUUCUUAUUAACAUUAUUACUAUUGCUAUUAUUUCUCCUGUUCUUGUUAUAAUGUCAUUAUAAUUGUUGUAAUAAUGAUUAUUAAGUAGUUAAAUGUGGGAAACAUGGAGAACUGUAUUUGUGAAAGAAGGUUGAGAAAAACUAAAAAUUAAAAGUACAUUAAACUGAACGUCUGAAAACUUUAGGACCAGUUACUGCCAAUUCUAUUAACAUUUUAUUAACCAAUUAAACAGCUACAUGUAACAUUCCUGAUAUUAUUAUUAUUAUUAUUUUUAUUACAAUAUUAGAAAGCCUAAUUGUCCAUAACAUCAAACUAAAUGCUUAUGCACUGAGAACAUUAACAUUCUUGUCACAUUUCUGACUGAGAUGUCUUGUAAACACCACUGGAAUACCUGCCAUGAAUAUUCAACAGCUGUCACUCCUUACAUACAGUUAUGUUGCAUUUAGUACUUAGCUACUGACAGAAUGAGAGCCCAGUGUACAAACGAGAAAGGCCUUCAACAACUACCCAUUGCCUACAGCUGCUGGUGGUAAGGUAAGCAUUAUAAAUGAAUUGAAAUAAUUGCAGGAAAGCUGUCUGCAAUGAAGAAAUGUGAACAAGGUUUCUAUAUUAAUGUUCAUUCUAAUACUUGGAAAGUAUAAUGAGAUUUAUUUUUUUCAGAAACAAUCAGCAAGCAACAUGCAGUUUUCAUUAUUUGUGAAAAUACUUAUUGUCUCAUUGAUCUGUUUUCAUGUUCAAAUAGCUGAAACAACUUUUAGUGACUUUGAAGGAGCUGCGAUUUCAGUUCCUGAUGAUACAUUAAACUGGUUUCAGGUUGGACUAUUGAAAACUAUGUUCCUGUUGUUGGUUCUUCAGUGGAUAAAUGGUGCUCUGCCAUUAGAAAUUUCACUUCCACUUGAUAAAUUUGCCUUGCCACAAAGUGAGAAGUAUAAUACAGAUGAUGAGCAUACUUUUGCUACAAAGGGAAUGUAUCUGCUUGAGCCAGUGAUGUCAAAAGGAUCCACUGUGGAUGAAACACACAUAAAACUAUAUCAAAAAUCUUAUUUCAGUUUGCAAAAGGCUAUUAAAUUUUUUGUUACAUUUAAAAGAAUUAUUUCAGCUUUAUGUCUCACCAUUUAUGAAUUUGUAAUGAAAAUGUAUUAUUUCUGGUAUGGAUAAGAAUCAAUAUUUUAGUUCGCUACAGUUCAUUCUGCACAAUAGCUUUAAGAAAUGUACCAGUAUUUG